UGAGCAGGUCUCCUGGUGGACUAAUGCCA
rnacentral:piRNA from 1 species